CAGGAAGAGUGUCCUUGGGGAUGAGAUGACACCUCGACUGAGAAGCCUAGUAAACCUGCAGGAAGCCCCAGCCCAUGGUAGGGGGCGAGUAUCUUGAUGCUGUGCCUCAUCGAAGAGAACCAUGCGCACAGGGUUUUGGAUGAUGAGGAAAGUUGGCCAACCCUUGUCAAGGACGGUUGAGGCACAGUGGGGUCAGCAGGAGCCCUUGGGCGAUGACAGGAGGUGGCUCACCCCAGCACUUGUCUCCCCAGACCACCCCGUCUGGGCCCUCAUCCUCAUCUGCUUGGCGGGAAUCCUGGUGCUCAUCACAGGCCUGAUCUGCUGUCUGCUGCCAAAAGAAUGCAAUGGUGUAAAGAUUCCUGUUGAUGUCAGUAAACCUAAUCCAAAUGACGUGGAGUUUGGUAAUCUGUAUUUGGAUAUGAAUGGAAUCAUCCAUCCCUGUACUCAUCCUGAAGACAAGUACGUAACCUGUUUUUGUCACUGACAUCACCAGUUACAGAGGAGUACUAUAUUAUAUUACAUUGUUUGCUUAUCAUUAUA